GAAAGAAGAGUGAGAUCUAAUGAAACCCUAGAUCUUCUUGCCGCAUCUCUUCGCCAUUGUCACCGUCAAGCUUGUCAUAGUGUUUGAGAUCAGAGGGAGAGUAAGCUCGUCGCUGCUGCGAUUCAUCGUCGUUACUGCCAUUCAUCGUCGUUGCUACUUUCCAAUUCUUUCAACUCUUCAACUACAUUAACACUUAAUUUCGCCGUUUUCAAUUGCAGCACAUGAAUCUCACCGCAGUCAAAGACGGCGACGAAAUCAUGGAGAGGUACGUCGAGGACACGCUUGCAAUCCUCCUUCCUCUUAAGGAUUGCUACCACACGUGCUGCGGCGGCGCGCCAUCACAUGAGAAGCUUAGCCUCGUGGACGUUGGAACAGGUGUUGGUCUUUCCGGAGUUGUUUUUGUCAUAGCUUGUCCAGGUUGCAUCUGUGGAUGAUCGGGGUCUGUCAGCCUGUUCCCUAUCCAAUGGCACCAUCUUCUCCUUCUUUUUCUCUUGCUUCUUCUUUGUUGCAUGUCUUUUGUACUUCUUUGCCGCCUCUUAACACCGUCUCCAUUGGUUUUUAUGAUUGUUGUUACUAAUGGGAGCAGAGUUCCGGGACUUGGUGAUCUUGGGAGUUCAUGGAAUUGGCAUCUUCAUUAGGAUGCUUGAUCUGUUUUUAUUAUUUUUGUUACUGAUGGCAAGAAAGUUUCACGCCAAGACACUGAGCUUGCAAGCAAAUCCUACUAGCUUGUCAGAGCUUGUAAGCAAAUCCUACUAGCUUGUCAGGAAGCUAAUUCAAAAAAAAAUAUAUAUAAAUCUUAAAACAUUUGUUUACAGAACAAGGAUAGAUUCUGGAUUUACAACUCUAGGUAUCCAUCUUGAAAUUCUCUAUCAUGCAAUUUAUGGUUUUCAUCCUUUUAGUAAUAUAAAUAGUUGAUUGUAUGAGUUAUUCAAUUUUUAUUUGAACAGAAUGGUUAUUUGUUACCUAAAUUAUUGAUGUAAUUUGUUUGAUUUCUCCACCUUGUAUUUAGUAUGGCAGAAGCUGGCAAAAGAGAAUGAUGAUUUGUUCAAUCAUUUUCACCCCUGUAAACAUAUUUUCACUCUCAUUUUCUGGUACUUUUUUUUAAGUCUACAUUUUGCUAUGAUUGAUGUCAUAACCUGUAUUGUUCAAUUUUCUUUGAAGUGGUAUCUUCCUUACUAGCAAUAGUUGUGAAGAAUAAUUUUCUUUAUUAGGUUUUGAUCAACACAAUGUAGCAAAUACUAUCUAAAUUAUUCCUAAUAUGCUGUUAGCUCUACCGUGUACUUUCAGAAGAAGGUGGUUUAAGAAAAUGGUUGGUUCUGCUUUUCUAGUACUUGCUACAAAUUCCUAUUAUUAGGGGUAAAAAAAUAUGAAUUUUCUGCAGACAUUGGUUAUUUAUUCGGGGAUACAAGUGAGCAUUGUAGGUUUUCCUUGCCAUCUAUUCAUUCUUGUUUAUUCUUUAGUUUUACCACACUUCUGCUUUUAAAAUUUCACAUCUAUGAACCUACUUAAAUACUAAUGAAUUUUAUAUUUUUGAAAUUCUAGCACAUUUAAAGACACCCGAACAAGAGGUGCUCUUGUAUUUAUUCUUGGGUUCUGGAGGUUGGAUCUUGCCAACAAUACUUUGUAGGUAAGGUCAAAGAAUUAGAAUGUGCUUCUUUCUAUUAUCUUUAUAUUGAUGAAAGAAAGUAAGUUUUCUAAAAA